rnacentral:lncRNA from 1 species
GCGAACACGACAAUGAAGACAAAACAGAGCCAAGUAUGUAGAAGAACAAGGCGACGUGGUAAUUCACAGAAGUCCGGCAGUCGGUAGCGAACUGUUGUGCGAAGAUUGAAUGUUUCUGAGCCUGAGUGUUUGUAUUGUGGGUUAUAUGUUUGGGUAUGUGGGACUGGGUAUGUGGGACUGGCCAAGCACAAAUUUUGGGAGUUUUCACGAGUGCUCUGAAAUAUCAUGGAGCGUCAGAGCGUAGCUUCUUCUCAUAUGCACAUAAUAACUAUUUUCGCAGCACUUGUGACCCAGCGGCAGCUUUGUGCGGCUGCGGUGCAGGCCUCGACGUGGGAAAUGCUAAAACUCCCGACGCGACGAACUAUGCCGCCCGAGCCCGCUGAGCGGCUCAAACGCUUCUUUCAGUGUCUCGACACCGAGCGGCGCUGGUCUGGAGGCCGGGCGAGCAGCCCGGCGCGAGGCAGCUUCUGGAAAUUUGCCGAGCAUUGUUCCCAAACUCGCUCUCCCGAUCGCCUGGCGCCCCGCUGAUGCGAUUGUAUAUCAGUAAAU